AUGGCUCUUUGUUAGUUAAACAUAAAGAGUCUGGCCUGCCCGGUGAUUUAUUUCAUUUAACGGCCGCGGUACUUUGACCGUGCAAAGGUAGCAUAAUCAUUUGUCUUAUAAUUGAAGUCUGGAAUGAAUGGCUGGACAAGAGCAAAGCUGUCUCUAACUAUUAAACAUAAUUUUAUUAUCAAGUUAAAAAGCUUGAAUAUAAUUAAAAGACGAGAAGACCCUAUCGAGCUUUAGGCUGUGCUAAAAUUUUUUGCAUUUAUGUAAAAAUAAUAUUUAAAUUGACUUUAGUUGGGGCGACUCGAGAACACAAGGAGCUUCUUGUUUUUAAAAUAUUGAUGGUUGACCCUUAAUUUAGGAUUAAAAAAAUUAGUUACCGUAGGGAUAACAGCAUUAUCUUUUUUGAGAGCUCAAAUCGAAAAAAAGGUUUGUGACCUCGAUGUUGGACCAAGAUAUCCUUAAGAUGCAGAAGUCUUAAAAGGUUGGUCUGUUCGACCAUUAAAAUCUUACGUGAUCUGAGUUCAGACCAG
rnacentral:rRNA from 1 species